GAGUUUGAUCUUGGCUCAGGAUGAACGCUGGCGGCGUGCCUAAUACAUGCAAGUCGAGCGAACGGACGAGAAGCUUGCUUCUCUGAUGUUAGCGGCGGACGGGUGAGUAACACGUGGAUAACCUACCUAUAAGACUGGGAUAACUUCGGGAAACCGGAGCUAAUACCGGAUAAUAUUUUGAACCGCAUGGUUCAAAAGUGAAAGACGGUCUUGCUGUCACUUAUAGAUGGAUCCGCGCUGCAUUAGCUAGUUGGUAAGGUAACGGCUUACCAAGGCAACGAUGCAUAGCCGACCUGAGAGGGUGAUCGGCCACACUGGAACUGAGACACGGUCCAGACUCCUACGGGAGGCAGCAGUAGGGAAUCUUCCGCAAUGGGCGAAAGCCUGACGGAGCAACGCCGCGUGAGUGAUGAAGGUCUUCGGAUCGUAAAACUCUGUUAUUAGGGAAGAACAUAUGUGUAAGUAACUGUGCACAUCUUGACGGUACCUAAUCAGAAAGCCACGGCUAACUACGUACG
rnacentral:rRNA from 1 species